GCUUGACUGUAUCCUGGAAUGGGGUUCGGGCUUUUCUGCGCAGUCUAGGUGGGAGGCUUGAAGGUUUCCUUCCGGGGAAUGGAGCCAUCAGUGAGAGACCACUCUGGAAAGGCUAGAAUCCUAAUGGUGAUCCUUGAAUCAGGACACUGACAGUUUCAGGUGGGCAGUUUGUUGUUGGGGCGAACGCCUUAUAAGCGUAACUAAGGCGUGCAAAGGUUCCCUCAAUCUGGACGGAAAUCAGAUGUUGAGUGUAACAGGCAAAAGGGAGCUUGACUGCAAGACCUACAAGUCGAGCAGGGCGAAAGCCGGCCUUAGUGAUCCGACGGUGCCGUGUGGAAGGGCCGUCGCUCAACGGAUAAAAGUUA
rnacentral:rRNA from 1 species